rnacentral:lncRNA from 1 species
AGCAACGGCGGCGUCUCUACGGCAACAUCCUCCGAUGUCCCCUCUCUGCUGUUGUCACCGCGACUCAGCUGUUGUUUGUGAGACAGUACAAAUCUCAUUGUUUGUCCUGGUCGUACGGAGGAUUUUAGAGUAUGCUUUACCUCGAGGGCGCUCACAGCAGCCACCGUUUGUGUCUGACGACUAAAAGCACCUUAAGUUGAGAUCAACUUGGACACUACUGGAUCCUCUCCUCCUCUUCAUCACUGGUCGUGUCUCCCUCUUGCAGAAGAACGGCAGUCUGCGCCGUCUGCUACAGCCCGGUGCUGCUCCCUCUCAUCAUCUGGACAGUCUCAUCUGCAGGCGCCGGUUCUCAUGCAUCUGGAUGGAUCCCGCCGUGCUUAUCUUCCUGCUGUAUGUGAUGAUCGCGCACGAGCUGAUCAGCGGCUGGAUGCAGUACAAGAGACAGAGUAAUAAGCCUCGUAAACGAGCAGCUGGACCGCUGCUGCGCUCCAGGUGUGUGUGCGAGGGGGUGUUUUUUAAUUGUAUUUUAUUUUAUUUUAUUUUAUUUUAUUUUAUUUUAUUUUAUUUUAUUUUAUUUAUGUAUUUUUAUUUUUAUUUUUAUUUUUAUUUUAUUUAUUGAUUUAUUUUUUUUUGGGGGGGGUAAUGUUAAACUUAAUGAUGCUGAUGUAGAGAUUUCAUUAUUUACAAUACCUGUUAUCAAAAGAUUUGGCCGUGAAUUAAAGGGAUAUUCUGCCGUAAAACUAAGUUAGGGUCAAACACACCGUAACACCGAGUUAGACAACCCCUCCAGAGAUAAAUGUUGGCGACCGCUUGCUUCUCUCAUACCAACUUUUGUGACGACCGCACGAUAGCAAUACAAAGAGCCAUGCGCUCAACCAAAACGCCACUCUAUAGCCACAAAUAGUGUUCAGAACAGUACCUAACUUCAUCAACAGUACAUAUAGGGUCCUAGCCAUAGUACUAGCCACCAAACAUCUUUUUAACUUUGCCUGAUUUCUUUAGCAAAGAGACUAAACACAACUCACCUACUCUCUUCCAGCAGCUGCUUGUUUGCAGCGAGGCCUCCGGGCGAGUCCUAAAAACACUUGGUAACAAAGUGUACAGCACAUAUAUCAGAAAGGCCUGCCCGAAGCUGUCACCUGGCUCAUCGUGACUCAUUUUGUUCCAUUUCCCUCUCAAGGUGUUGUUUUCUGUUGAAGUCAGGUUUCUGUGCAGGACCAUCAAGUCCUUCCACACUUAACUGGUGGACAAACUGGACAUACUAUUUCCUAAUAGAUCAGGCCCUGCUUUAUCUUUAAGUAUUGACAUGAUGAAGAGGCCGGUGUUUGCUUUUACUAAGAUGUUCAGACUCAACUGGAACAGUGAGCCGAGCUGAAGCUUUUUAAGUUUAACAGUAACAGUAACAAAAAAAAAAAAGUGCCUCUGAGGAACGACUGAGAAGUUAUGUGAUGUCCUGGCACACCGCCAGUCUGAAACAUUGCUUUGAGCGUUGCGUGUUAUUCGUUGACAUCUAAAAGGCAUUCUAUAAACAGGUUGAGUUUCAUUUAUUGUCCUAAAACAAUCAUUAGAUGAUUCAAUUGUGCAUCAAAGGUUUAAUUUUCAGGGUUCACUGACUGGGCGUUAGGUAUGAUGCCAGAAAUAUGACGCCACCUGAUGAUCCCAUCGAACCGCGAUUAUAUAACAGAACACCCACUCCUUCAGUCAUUAAGGUUGUGUGUUCCUGUUGUUCUUGUUGUAAUCACCUGUACCUCCUCCUCAGUGCCCGGGUGUGUCAGGGAGCCUGGAGGGUAAGCAGCCUGUCUCUGACGGACAGAGGGGGGAGGGACCUGAGGAAGAGUGGACGCAUCGUGAGGAAAGCCUGAUGGAUGGACGCUGGUUUGUUGAUGAAUAACUCGGGACUACAUCUCCAAGAGGCUGAUUCAAGCUCACUUUGCCUUUAUUUCCGUGCUACAUUUGGGCAUUAGAAGCAUUUAGUGCUGUGGUUAUUACUGUGACACACUUACCAAAAAUACUCCUGACAUCAGGUUGCAGAUUUCAGAAUGCUUGAGGAUUAAAACAAGUCCAAAAAUGCUUUAUUUUUAUGUAAAAAUCAGAGGGGGUGGUCUGUGAUGACACCCCCACAGUCCCACCCCUGUCAUGUUACAGCCAACUCGAGACGCCGCCCCAUAAUCUUAAACUCUGAUUGGAUAUCCUCCAAAAGUGGGACUUAUAUCCAAAUCAACUUACUGGAGUGUGUUUCAACAUGCUGCUUGUAGCUUUUGUGGCAUUGAAAUGUAGCAUAUCUCCUUUUGUUGGCUCUUCUCACUGCUGCUUUUGGUGAUACAUCUGAAAGAGUUUCACAUGUAGCCCCUCAGUUGUGUUAUUUGGUAAAUUUAAAUAGUCAAAGAAGAGUUACCUCUGAAUAAUAAUAGUUAAAGAAGCUGUUCGGUUUCUUUGAAGUUGAUUGUAUGAGGAAUUUGUCAAAAGUAAGUGUAUAAUUCACAGGGGAUUUUCUGGUAUUUGGCCCUUUGUUAAGAGGAAAACCAGAAAAGCAGCAUGAGAUCUAGGCUACCAAUUGCUACAAAUGCAACAACACUACGUCAUUUUCAAAAACUGUGACCCAAGCACAAAUGCCUGUGUGAAUAUGAACUUAAUCUUUCAGUGUUCUACAUCAAUGUGAGCAAGUCUCUUAGUUUUUGCACUAUCUACGGCUGCAACACAUCUAAUCAGAACAUCUGUGCCAUGUUGGAGGACAAGACAAGAUUUAAAAGACUUUUUGCUGAUUGUGUGAAAUGCUUUCUUUUUUUUCCUUUUUUAUUUAUUUAUUUAUUAUUAUUUUUAUCAUUAUUAUUUUUAUACCGUGUGAACACAAACAUCAGCGGCCACAUUAUCACUGAAACCAACAAAAGUAAAAGAAGUUUACGUCCUAUUUCCGUUGAUGGUCUUAUUCUUUAGCACAGAAGCCAUCAGCUAUAACUCCACCUCUUUGGAUAGGUUGAGUCAUCAUUUCUAACAUGCAGACCACUGCUGAUAGGCUUCAAACUCAGCUCCAGAAACCAAUAGUUUUCGUCACUGAGACCAUGCCCAUGUUCUACAGUCUAUGACACCAACACUAUUUUUCCUUUUUUUUUUUUUAUCAGUUUCUUAAGAUUUGCCAUGUUAUGAGUUAGCUUUGACUUUGUUUGCUACUGGGCUGGUUCCUCAGCUGGUUUCUCGAUUAAGGAGCUGAGCUGACCAGGAUGUAAUCUUGGGGAUUCACCUGCUAUUGAUAAGAACCUUGUAUAACCUCAUUUCAAACUAUCCCUUAAACUAGAUUAGAUCAGUGGACACGGAAAUGGAAAACAUAUUUUAAAUGUGCACACACACAUAAUUUUUCCCACCCCUGCAUAUCGCAGUGCCCCAGCUGGGCCACUUCCUUAUCUCAUUCACAUAUUUUCAUUACUCUCUUUCUUAUCUUAUGACUGCUUCAUAUCUGAUCAGUAGCUGAGUUUCAUUUUGUAAGUGUUAUUUUGAGCUUCAAUGUCUCAAUUUGUUUUCUUUGAUCAUCGUUUUUUUGUUUGACAGACGUACAACUACCUUAGCUGGAAGUGAGUGAUAGUGACAGGAAAGUCGCAGCACACCUGUCUUCAGUUUGAGGCUAUUUUUAUUUAUUUGUUUAUUGAUUUUGUAUUAGGAUAUGACAAUUUAGUCAUAUCAGCCCAGCAGCCAUGUUGCAGACCUCCAAAUCACUGCCCACGUCACAGAUCCUCUCCCUAUGUAAAUUUGUGCUCACUGACAGCUUUGUUCCCAGCUGGACAAAGGAACAAAACAGCUAAUCAUAACUACUUCACCACAACAUGUGAUCCAACCAACUAUGGAAGGAAAUGAUGACGACCAAAGCUUAAACUUGUAAUUUGAGUUUAAAAAAUGUAACAUUUAACAAAGCACGUGUUUACACUGACAUUUCUAGGUGAAAGUUUUAAAUUCAGAAUCAGAGAAGUCUUUACUUUAAUGAAAAUACCAACAGAGCUGCGAGGAAGAGGACCUUGAAUAGGUGCUGCUGUUGUUUUCAGCUUCUGUUAACAACACCAAAAGAAAAACUCUUACAUUUUGACAUCACUGUGAAUGUUAUUGUAAAGUUUGGCAUACUUUAUUACAUUAAAAUCAGACCAACGAGAGGGACUUCAAUGCAAAGUUCAUUUUGGGUUAAUGCCAUGGAAGCAACACCAACCAUCAAACGCUGGGGACUUUUAUUUGCUGCAUAAAUCACCUUUUUUUGAAUCAAUAGAGUUGUCUUUUACUCAAAA